AGAAAGCUAGUCUAACAAAGACAGUUGAUUUCGACUCAACAGAUCACAACUCCUCCUGUGGCUUUCUU
rnacentral:tRNA from 1 species